rnacentral:rRNA from 1 species
UGCGUAGGCGGGCUAAUAGUCAGUGGUGAAAUCUCUCGGCUCAACCGGGAAACUGCCAUUGAUACUGUUAGUCUUGAGUUCGGUUGAGGUAGGCGGAAUGUGUAAUGUAGCGGUGAAAUGCUUAGAUAUUACACAGAACACCAAUUGCGUAGGCAGCUUACUAGACCGACACUGACGCUGAGGCACGAAAGCGUGGGGAGCGAACAGGAUUAGAUACCCUGGUAGUCC